rnacentral:rRNA from 1 species
GCAAGUCGAGGGGCAGCACGGACUUCGGUCUGGUGGCGACCGGCGCACGGGUGCGUAACGCGUAUGCAACCUGCCUUAUACAGGAGGAUAGCCCAUGGAAACGUGGAUUAAUACUCCAUAGUAUUAUGAUUCUGCAUAGAGACAUAAUUAAAACUUCGGUGGUAUAAGAUGGGCAUGCGUAGGAUUAGCUAGUUGGUGAGGUAACGGCUCACCAAGGCAACGAUCCUUAGGGGUUCUGAGAGGAUUAUCCCCCACACUGGUACUGAGACACGGACCAGACUCCUACGGGAGGCAGCAGUGAGGAAUAUUGGUCAAUGGGCGCGAGCCUGAACCAGCCAUCCCGCGUGCAGGAUGACGGCCCUAUGGGUUGUAAACUGCUUUUCUACGCCAAGAACUCCCCCGACGAGUCGGGGGUUGCCGGUAGCGUAGGAAUAAGCAUCGGCUAACUCCGUGCCAGCAGCCGCGGUAAUACGGAGGAUGCAAGCGUUAUCCGGAUUCAUUGGGUUUAAAGGGUGCGCAGGUGGGCUUUUAAGUCAGUGGUGAAAUACUGCCGCUUAACGGUAGAAUUGCCAUUGAUACUGAGAGUCUUGAGUAUGGUUGAGGUAGGCGGAAUGUGUUGUGUAGCGGUGAAAUGCAUAGAUAUGACACAGAACGCCGAUUGCGAAGGCAGCUUACUAAGCCAUUACUGACGCUGAGGCACGAAAGCGUGGGGAGCGAACAGGAUUAGAUACCCUGGUAGUCCACGCUGUAAACGAUGUUCACUCGCUGUU